rnacentral:rRNA from 1 species
UCCUAAGGAGCGGCGAGCGAAAGGGAAAGAGCCCAAACCAUUGAAUUUAUUCAGUGGGGUUGUAGGACUACGAUGUGAGACAGAGAGGUAUAGUUGAAGUCUUUGGGAAAAGACGCCAGAGAGGGUGAGAGCCCCGUAAGCGAAAUAGCUCGAAGCUCUAGUAGUAUCCUGAGUAGGCCGGGACACGAGGAAUCCCGGUUGAAGCAGCGAGGACCAUCUCGCAAGGCUAAAUACUAACUAGUGACCGAUAGUGAACCAGUACCGUGAGGGAAAGGUGAAAAGAACCCCGGAAGGGGAGUGAAAGAGAAC